rnacentral:rRNA from 1 species
CUCUUCGGAGUUAGUGGCGGACGGGUGAGUAACACGUGGGAACGUGCCUUUAGGUUCGGAAUAACUCAGGGAAACUUGAGCUAAUACCGGAUGUGCCCUUCGGGGGAAAGAUUUAUCGCCUUUAGAGCGGCCCGCGUCUGAUUAGCUAGUUGGUGAGGUAAAGGCUCACCAAGGCGACGAUCAGUAGCUGGUCUGAGAGGAUGAUCAGCCACAUUGGGACUGAGACACGGCCCAAACUCCUACGGGAGGCAGCAGUGGGGAAUCUUGCGCAAUGGGCGAAAGCCUGACGCAGCCAUGCCGCGUGAAUGAUGAAGGUCUUAGGAUUGUAAAAUUCUUUCACCGGGGACGAUAAUGACGGUACCCGGAGAAGAAGCCCCGGCUAACUUCGUGCCAGCAGCCGCGGUAAUACGAAGGGGGCUAGCGUUGCUCGGAAUUACUGGGCGUAAAGGGAGCGUAGGCGGACAUUUAAGUCAGGGGUGAAAUCCCGGGGCUCAACCUCGGAAUUGCCUUUGAUACUGGGUGUCUUGAGUAUGAGAGAGGUGUGUGGAACUCCGAGUGUAGAGGUGAAAUUCGUAGAUAUUCGGAAGAACACCAGUGGCGAAGGCGACACACUGGCUCAUUACUGACGCUGAGGCUCGAAAGCGUGGGGAGCAAACAGGAUUAGAUACCCUGG